rnacentral:rRNA from 1 species
UGCAAGUCGAACGGUAGAGGGGGCAACCCCUUGAGAGUGGCGAACGGGUGAGUAAUGUAUCGGAACGUGCCCAGUCGUGGGGGAUAACGUAGUGAAAAUUACGCUAAUACCGCAUACGAUCUAUGGAUGAAAGCGGGGGAUCGCAAGACCUCGCGCGAUUGGAGCGGCCGAUAUCAGAUUAGGUAGUUGGUGGGGUAAAGGCUCACCAAGCCAACGAUCUGUAGCUGGUCUGAGAGGACGACCAGCCACACUGGAACUGAGACACGGUCCAGACUCCUACGGGAGGCAGCAGUGGGGAAUUUUGGACAAUGGACGCAAGUCUGAUCCAGCCAUUCCGCGUGCAGGACGAAGGCCUUCGGGUUGUAAACUGCUUUUGUACGGAACGAAAAAGCUCUUAUUAAUACUAGGAGUCCAUGACGGUACCGUAAGAAUAAGCACCGGCUAACUACGUGCCAGCAGCCGCGGUAAUACGUAGGGUGCAAGCGUUAAUCGGAAUUACUGGGCGUAAAGCGUGCGCAGGCGGUUAUAUAAGACAGAUGUGAAAUCCCCGAGCUUAACUUGGGAACUGCAUUUGUGACUGUAUAGCUAGAGUACGGCAGAGGGGGAUGGAAUUCCGCGUGUAGCAGUGAAAUGCGUAGAUAUGCGGAGGAACACCGAUGGCGAAGGCAAUCCCCUGGGCCUGUACUGACGCUCAUGCACGAAAGCGUGGGGAGNCAACAGGAUUAGAUACCCUGGUAGUCCACGCCCUAAACGAUGUCAACUGGUUGUUGGGUCUUCACUGACUCAGUAACGAAGCUAACGCGUGAAGUUGACCGCCUGGGGAGUACGGCCGCCAGGUUGAAACUC